UGGAGGCCAGAUGGAGACCAGGUGCUUUACCUUAAUGUGAGUGACAGCACAGUUCUGCUCAGUGAAUGCUCAGCGAGGAAUGACUGCCGGCUUGCCUCGCGUACACAACUGAUGGGCUUUCUGAAAAGACCCGAAGCAACAAGACCAAUGCCAUUCACCAAUAAAGGGAACCAGGUCUCCUUGGAAAAUGGCUGAUUCUAGGACCGAGACAGGUAAUACACAACAUGGCCUAGAAAAUCCUGUAGUGCCAGCAAGCAAGGAAGUGCUAAGACAACAACAAUAAAAACCUCCAACUAUAGGGAGGUAUGUCAAAGGGUCACAGGAGCCAACUGAAGGAAGUUUCAGUUGCCAAACCUGGAACAAUUUGAGCAAAUACAUAAAGCUAUAUUUGAUCAUAAUGUACAGUAUAAUAUAAAUAUCCAUGCUUUCAUUAAACUUGCAAAAUCAAG